CUCCUAGGGGAGGCAGCAGUGAGGGAUAUUGGGCAAUGGGGGAACCCUGACCCAGCAACGCCGCGUGAGGGAUGACGGUUUUCGGAUUGUAAACCUCUGUCCUCUGUGAAGAUAGUGACGGUAGCAGAGGAGGAAGCUCCGGCUAACUACGUGCCAGCAGCCGCGGUAAUACGUAGGGAGCAAGCGUUGUCCGGAUUUACUGGGUGUAAAGGGUGCGUAGGCGGAUUGGCAAGUCAGAAGUGAAAUCCAUGGGCUUAACCCAUGAACUGCUUUUGAAACUGUUAGUCUUGAGUGAAGUAGAGGUAGGCGGAAUUCCCGGUGUAGCGGUGAAAUGCGUAGAGAUCGGGAGGAACACCAGUGGCGAAGGCGGCCUACUGGGCUUUAACUGACGCUGAGGCACGAAAGUGUGGGUAGCAAACAGGAUUAGAUACCCUGGUAGUCCACACUGUAAACGAUGAUUACUAGGUGUGGGGGGUCUAACCCCCUCCGUGCCGGAGUUAACACAAUAAGUAAUCCACCUGGGGAGUACGACCGCAAGGUUGAAACUCAAAGGAAUUGACGGGGGCCCGCACAAGCAGUGGAGUAUGUGGUUUAAUUCGACGCAACGCGAAGAACCUUACCAGGUCUUGACAUCCAACUAACGAAGCAGAGAUGCAUUAGGUGCCCUUCGGGGAAAGUUGAGACAGGUGGUGCAUGGUUGUCGUCAGCUCGUGUCGUGAGAUGUUGGGUUAAGUCCCGCAACGAGCGCAACCCUUGUGAUUAGUUGCUACGCAAGAGCACUCUAAUCAGACUGCCGUUGACAAAACGGAGGAAGGUGGGGACGACGUCAAAUCAUCAUGCCCUUUAUGACCUGGGCUACACACGUACUACAAUGGCUGUUACAAAGAGAAGCGAAGCCGUAAGGCGGAGCGAAACUCACAAAAGCAGUCCCAGUUCGGAUUGUGGGCUGCAACCCGCCCACAUGAAGUCGGAGUUGCUAGUAAUCGCGGAUCAGCAUGCCGCGGUGAAUGCGUUCCCGGGCCUUGUACACACCGC
rnacentral:rRNA from 1 species